rnacentral:rRNA from 1 species
ACUCCGUGAAGCUGGAUUCGCUAGUAAUCGCGCAUCAGCCAUGGCGCGGUGAAUACGUUCCCGGGCCUUGUACACACCGCCCGUCAAGCCAUGGGAGCCGGGGGCACUUGAAGUACGCCGCCGCGAGGAGCGUCCUAGAGUGAAACUGGCGACUGGGGCUAAGUCGUAACAAGGUACC